GACGAACGCUGGCGGCGUGCUUAACACAUGCAAGUCGAACGGAAAGGCCCUGCUUUUGUGGGGUGCUCGAGUGGCGAACGGGUGAGUAACACGUGAGUAACCUGCCCUUGACUUUGGGAUAACUUCAGGAAACUGGGGCUAAUACCGGAUAGGAGCUCCUGCUGCAUGGUGGGGGUUGGAAAGUUUCGGCGGUUGGGGAUGGACUCGCGGCUUAUCAGCUUGUUGGUGGGGUAGUGGCUUACCAAGGCUUUGACGGGUAGCCGGCCUGAGAGGGUGACCGGCCACAUUGGGACUGAGAUACGGCCCAGACGCCUACGGGAGGCAGCAGGGGGGAAUAUUGAACAAUGGGCGGAAGCCUGAUGCAGCAACGCCGCGUGCGGGAUGACGGCCUUCGGGUUGUAAACCGCUUUCGCCUGUGACGAAGCGUGAGUGACGGUAAUGGGUAAAGAAGCACCGGCUAACUACGUG
rnacentral:rRNA from 1 species